AGAGUUUGAUCCUGGCUCAGAACGAACGCUGGCGGCGUGGCUAAAACAUGCAAGUCGCACGCGAACGUCAAGGUUAGCUUGCUAACUGAGACAAGUAGAGUGGCGAAAGGGCGAGGAAUACUUGGGUAACGUGCCUUGAGCACAGGGAUAGCCGUGGGAAACCGCGGGUAAUACCUGAUGAUAUCAUUGCAUCCUCGGAUACAUUGAUCAAAGAUGGCCUCUUCUUGAAAGCUAUCGGCUUUAGAGCGGCCCAAGUCCUAUCAGCUUGUUGGUGAGGUAAUGGCUCACCAAGGCUUCGACGGGUAUCGGGACUGAGAGGUUGACCCGACGCAUCGGAACUGAGACACUGUCCGGACUCCUACGGGAGGCUGCAGUAACGAAUAUUGGACAAUGGGCGAAAGCCUGAUCCAGCGACGCCGCGUGCAGGAAGAAGUCCCUCGGGAUGUAAACUGCUGUCAGGGACUACCAAGCAAUGAGGGUUAAUACCCCUCUGCGUUGAGGCGUCCCAGAGGAAGCCACGGCUAACUUCGUGCCAGCAGCCGCGGUAAGACGAAGGUGGCGAGCGUUGUUCGGAAUCACUGGGCUUAAAGAGCAUGUAGGCGGAUUGUCAAGCGUCUUGUGAAAGCCCUCGGCUUAACCGAGGAAUUGCAGGGCGAACUGAUAGUCUUGAGGCAGGUAGGGGCAGAUGGAACUCUUGGUGGAGCGGUGGAAUGCGUAGAUAUCAAGAGGAACGCCAGAGGCGAAGGCGAUCUGCUGGGCCUGUCCUGACGCUGAGAUGCGAAAGCCAGGGGAGCGAACGGGAUUAGAUACCCCGGUAGUCCUGGCCAUAAACGAUGUCAACUAGGUCGGAGGUUCUCUGACGAAUUUCCGGCCGAAAUGAAAACGUUAAGUUGACCGCCUGGGGAGUACGGUCGCAAGGCUAAAACUCAAAGGAAUUGACGGGUGCUCACACAAGCGGUGGAGCAUGUUGCUUAAUUCGAUGCAACGCGAAGAACCUUAUCCUGGGCUUGACAUGCUUGGAUGCCUACCUGGAAACAGGAUCGGCUGCCCUUCGGGGUGAAACUUGCGCAGGUGCUGCAUGGCUGUCGUCAGCUCGUGUCGUGAGAUGUCGGGUUAAGUCCCUUAACGAGCGAAACCCUUGUCGUUAGUUGCCAGCGAGUAAUGUCGGGGACUCUAACGAGACUGCCGGUGUUAAACCGGAGGAAGGUGGGGAUGACGUCAAGUCCUCAUGGCCUUUAUGCCCAGGGCUGCAAACGUGCUACAAUGGUCGGUACAAACCGAAGCGAGACCGCGAGGUGGAGCAAAUCGGAAAAAACCGGCCCCAGUUCGGAUUGGAGUCUGCAACUCGACUCCAUGAAGUUGGAAUCGCUAGUAAUCGUACAUCAGCGCGGUACGGUGAAUGUGUUCCUGAGCAUUGUACACACCGCCCGUCAAGUCAUGGAAGCCGGGAGCGCCCGAAGUCGCCCUAAUUCAAGGGUGCCUAAGGUGAGCUCGGUGACUGGGACUAAGUCGUAACAAGGUAACC
rnacentral:rRNA from 1 species